GCAAGAACUGGCAAAUCUUGUGCAGUCCACGAGGAGGAGAUGCACUGCAGUACUUAAUGCAGCUGGUGCCCACACCAGAUACUGACUGACCUUUGAUUUGAACCCCCUCCCUCAUGCAGUUGACAGUGAGAGGACUUUUCUUUCUUCUUUUGCUGAGUUUUUAACUGCUCAAGGUUUCAUCAUUGCAAUAAGAAAGGAUGCAUAGUAAACUGCCCUUAUGUGGAUGUCUCCUAUAAGUGGGCAGGAGGUGGCUUUCUCUCCGCUGUGGGAGAUCUGCUCCUCUUUGGGAAUGCUCUGCUCUACAACUACAAAGUGGCCUACCUGAAGGGUGGUGCAGACCUCCUGUCUGGCUUCCUCAAACCAGAGACGGCACAGGCUCUGUGGGCAUGGUGGACAAGACAGGUCUGCUGGGAUAAGGAUGGGCUGUAUGCGCAGAGCUGGCUGGUGGUGGAGAAGGAUACUGCGAUGUUUCCGAUGGAUGAAUGAUUUAUCAUCAGCACUCAUUUGUAUAUUUGAAACUGCUUUUAUACGUCUACCUUUUAUUUUGUAUUUAUUAUAAAAGACAAUCUUCAA